CCCUCUCCCGAUCUCAACCCUCCCUCGAUCUCCCUCUCCCUCGAUCUCCCUCUCCCGAUCUCAACCCUCUCUCUCGAUCUCCCUCUCCCGAUCUCAACCCUCUCUCUCACUCUCCCUCUCACUCUCCCUUCCUCUCUCGAUCUCCCUCUCCCUACAACAUCAACCAUUCCACGACAGUCCCCACACAUGGGGUAUCUAAUAUUGUAGAAGCAGCAGCAGCAACUCCAUAUGGGGUGUGUGAUCUGUCGUCCACGGUUGAAUGGGGAAGACUGAAGGGAGGGAGUGAGUGCAGCAGCAGCAGCAACAACAACGGAUUCCUAGAAAACUACAAGGACCGAUUUCUUGCUGCUUUUCCAGCACCUCGUUGAGCAAGUGUUGACUUCAGUCGGCCUGUUUUCACAGCCACUGCAUUCUACUUGUGUGCAAAAAGGCACAAGGUAGCUAAUCAUUGAAAUCCUUUCUUCUCUUUCCAUUUCAACCUGCCUGAUUUUUUAAAAUGUUUCUUACGCUUCAGUGUUUACUUGUUUUGCAGCUUAAAGUAGACAAGAUUAAGCUUAUUGAGCUAUGUGGCACAUCAGAAUCUGAAUUUACUAGUGUUUUCCUGCAUCAAUUUUCUCAUAAGAUGUUGCUUCUUGUGCAACAGAUUCUGAAUAUAAUCAUAUUUGUUGAAGUCCACUUCUCUUGUUGUAGAUAAGAACCUACUGAAUCAGAAUGUCGUCAUUAAGUAACAAAACAUGGAUGGACAAACAUAGGUUAAGUCCAGAAUAUUUGGAUGGACUUGUGCAUUUUAUUGAGUUUACAAAGAACAACGGUGGUGGAUUUGAUCAUUAUUCGUGUCCGUGUGUGAAAUGUAGAAAUGGGAGUGGGAUGUUCACUCUUGGAGAGAUUUAUGAGCAUUUGCUCAUUAACGGUAUGGAUAAGUCAUACACACAUUGGAUUUUUCACGGUGAAAGUCUUGUGAAAAGUAACGAGAAACCAUCAUCAUCGACGUUUGAUGAUCAAUCCGAUGAUGAGUAUCCUAGAAUGGAGGAACUUGUUAAUGAUGCAUUUAGAAAUAUUGGAGAACAUGCUGAUACUCUU